rnacentral:lncRNA from 1 species
CAAAUUUCAGGCCUAGUUGAGAAGAGGGUUCAGAGGAGACUGACUAAAGUUUGGUUGACGACGGAGUCCUUGUCACAGCAAAGAAUCAUCCUGCCCUUGUCUAUUCUUGGGUAAAACCCACCCCAGCCUUCCUCAUGGCUCCUUUUUGGUGCUGUGUUUCAGGCAGGAGCAGAAUCCUCACCUUUGGAACCCUGUUCACUCCACCCAGAACAAGAAACAGAUCGAGGAAGAGGCAGAGUAACAACAGCCGGGAAGAAGAUACAGUUUUAUGACUGCCUUUUCACUUAACUGUGUCCUCAUAUGGAAGAGAGGAGAAAAGAGGAGAGGAGGGGAGAGGCAAGUUCUCUUGUGUUUCUUCUUACAAAGCACAAAUGCCAUUAUGAGGGCCCCACCCUCAGGACCUCAUCUAAUCCUAAUUUCCUCCCAAAAUUAAAUCUCAAAUGUCAUCACAUUGUGGUUAGGAGUCAACACAUAAUUGGGGGUCAUGGUGGGGGUAAGUCACAAACAAUCAUUCUGUAGCAAUUAUUGAUCUUAAUGGAUUUAGGACUAAUGCUACUUAUUUCUCCAGUGAGUUUUAAUAAUGUGUAUCUUUCAAGCAAUUGUUCAUUUCAUUUAAAUAAUCAGUUUUGGGGCCAAAAAUUGUUCAUGCUAUUUCUUUUCUUUUUAUUUUAAUAUCCUUGGGAACAGUAGUAAUGCUCUUUAAUUCAUUUUUAAUAUUAAUUGUUGUCUUCUUCCUUUUUUAUAGUUACUUGGCAAAAAGUUCAUAAACUUUAUUGAUGUUUUCAAAUAAUUAGCUUAAAAAUAUUUUUUGAGAAAGGGUCUUACUCUGUCACUCAGGCUGGAGUGCAGUGGUGUGAUCAUGGCUAACUGUAUCCUUGACCUCCUGGGCUCAAGCAAUCCUCCCACCUGAGUCUCCUGAGUUGCUGGGACCAUUGGUGCACACCACCAUGCCUGCUAUUUUUUUUUAAUUUAUUUUUAUUUUGUAGAGACGGGGCUUCACUAUGUUGCUUACUCUGGGUCUCAAACUCCUGGGCUCAAGUGAACCUCCCAUCUCGGCCUCUCAAAGUGCUGGGAUUAUAGGUGUGAGCCACCAUGCCAGGCCAGAAUUAGCUUUUGUUUUCAUUAAUUUUUACUAUUGUUUUCCUAUUUUCAAGUUCAUUGUUCUGCUCAAAUUUUUAUUACUUAUUUUCUCCUGUUUGCUUUUUAGACUUAGAUGCUCUUUCUUCUUUAGUUUACUUAGGUGGAAAUUUAGGUGAGUGGGU